rnacentral:rRNA from 1 species
GACAGAGGAUGCAAGCGUUAUCCAGAAUGAUUAGGCGUAAAGCGUCUGUAGGUGGCUUUUUAAGUCCGCCGUUAAAUCCUAGGGCUCAACCCUGGACAGGCGGUGGAAACUACCAAGCUGGAGUACGGUAGGGGUAGAGGGAAUUUCCGGUGGAGCGGUGAAAUGCGUAGAGAUCGGAAAGAACACCAACGGCGAAAGCACUCUGCUGGGCCGACACUGACACUGAGAGACGAAAGCUAGGGGAGCGAAUGGG